rnacentral:tRNA from 1 species
GCCCCCGUAGCUCAGUGGAUAGAGCGCUGGCCUCCGGAGCCAGAGGCACAGGUUCAAGUCCUGUCGGGGGUA